rnacentral:rRNA from 1 species
AAACUGAAGAGUUUGAUCAUGGCUCAGAUUGAACGCUGGCGGCAGGCCUAACACAUGCAAGUCGAGCGGAAACGAUGGGAGCUUGCUCCCAGGCGUCGAGCGGCGGACGGGUGAGUAAUGCAUAGGAAUCUGCCCGGUAGUGGGGGAUAACCUGGGGAAACUCAGGCUAAUACCGCAUACGUCCUACGGGAGAAAGCAGGGGAUCUUCGGACCUUGCGCUAUCGGAUGAGCCUAUGUCGGAUUAGCUAGUUGGUGAGGUAA